rnacentral:lncRNA from 1 species
CUAGUGAGAAAACAUCACACAUGUUCAGUCUUGUUACCCUGAUUCGCACAAUGAUCUAAAACAAAACAACCGCAAAAGCAGCAGGGGUUGUCUUGUUCCACGCUCCAUGUCCACCGAUCAUGUGCUGCGGACUGCCAAACACUCAGCUUUUCAGCCAGCUUCUAUAAAAUUCGUUUGGAUAAAAAACAUUCAAAAUCAACAUAAACAUAUAAUCAGUUGAGUCGUCGCAAUAGUAGUAAUCCGUCACUUUAUAGAUCCUGAGCCCCAUGGACAACUUUAUCUUUCUCCGCACGUAAUUCUAAUGAUACUCAGAUUCUCUACACAGCUAGAUUCUCGGAAAAGCUGGUCAGAAAAAAGCUGAACCAAACAGACCCCAUGCUCUCUCAGCGGACAAGGCCUCCGCUCCGUGCCUUCUCCCUCCCUACAGAUUUCCAGCACCCAGAAACUAACUACCCUUCAGUGUAGCACAACUGCAAACAAACACCGGGGGGGCCUCGCUCGCGUGU